rnacentral:rRNA from 1 species
GACAGAGGGUGCAAACGUGUUCGGAAUUACUGGGCGUAAAGCGAGUGUAGGCGGUUUGGUAAGUCGGAUGUGAAAGCCCCGGGCUCAACCCGGGAAGUGCACUCGAUACUGCCAAGCUAGAGUAUCGGAGAGGUUGGUGGAAUUCUCGGUGUAGAGGUGAAAUUCGUAGAUAUCGAGAGGAACACCGGUGGCGAAGGCGGCUCACUGGCCCGAUACUGACGCUGAGGUGCGAAAGCGUGGGGAGCAAACAGG